AAAAAAAAGGUUAUGCCACUACUGUUGCUAUGCAUUUAAUCACAUCCUGUUGACCCAGAUGAUGGACAAGUAGGUGUCUAUAUAUUUAUUCAAGGUCGUGCUCGUAGGACAAGUCUGACAGAAACUGUCACAAGCCGAAUACUUGCUGGUCCCAAUUUCUAUUUUAAAAUGGUGCUCACAUAUAAAAGCGACAUGGUCAGGUGCUGACAGACUAAUAAAAAGGAGUGUAUGUCUGAAAAGGGCUUAACCAUGUAUUCCCACCUGAC